UAGAAGAUGAAACUCCCUUAAAAGUCCUACACAACACCACUGCCCUCCUGCACAGCAUGGACGCCGCCAUCUUUCUUCAUCCCCUAAAAGGACCCGGAGAAGUCGUAGGUGACUACUGCAGUGCCUGUUCAGCACGGCCUGUACAGCCCAGCCCAGGGUCCUAAUGAGAUGAUGAAUGGGAGCAUACGGAGUGAUGGAGGCUCUCGAUCCACCAGUGACUGCUAAUUUAAGGGGAGAUUCAUCAAAUGUGGGCCUGCACUCAUGCACCUUCAUAAAACAGUGCCGGGGUCCAGUGAAGAUGAAUGGAGGUACCUAAAGGGUGUGUGCCAGCGCAUGAUGUGGAGGGUGUCAAGCUGAUCUGAUUGGUGGAAAAGAGAGAGAGAGAUGGAUGAAUCAGGACUGUGGAGAGAGGAGGGGAUCAGCUGAGAGCAGACAGAGAGGGAGGUAGAACUGAAAACAGAUGGCAGAGCUGGCACCUGUCUUAAACUAAAAUCUGUUUGGAGCCGUUUUCCACAUGUCUUUAAAAAAAAAAAAAAGCCCAUUCUGCAUAUUAUGCCAAAAAAAGACACUCUCAGGUUUUAACCCUUUGUGACCAUGCCCUCCCUUUAGCUUUUCAGUCAUAAUAGGAUGCCCCCCUUUGAACAGGAGGAGAUACAAAAACCCUCUCAAAUCCUUCCACUCUGUCUCACCCGGGCCUUGUAAGCAAACAGAGGGGGCAUUCAGAGCAGGAGUCUCAUUUAAAGCGUUAAUCUGUGGGCCACAUGCUGCACAACAGCAGAGGACCAAACGAGCACCGCAGACCUGACAACGCACGCGCACACACACGUACGCAGACACUCAGAUCAGCCAGGCUUGCCCAGGCUAAACAUGGCAUGUAUUUGGCAAGUGAGGAAGUCUGUUCCAGGUGGCUGCAUAUAUAAGUUGCAAUCAGUUUGAACCCUCUUAGGUCACUCUCCUUCAAAGAACCAUACUGAGACUCUUACAUGUUUGAGCCCAUUUACUGUUAAUCAAAAGUACCUUGCCAAAGGACCAAAAGUUUAGCAAAUUUUAAAAAGAGUUUUGAAUGCUUUUGCUUUCUAGCCACCCAUUGUUUCCCUUUCAUUUCUGUGAAGUAUGAAAAUCUACUUGCACAGACUUCAAACUUGAUAGGUGAUCCACCAGAGUGAAUUUUGCUCUGCCAAAGUUACACGAUGCUGAAACGCUGACUGUUUUUGAAAAGUCUGCUGCUGCGUUAACAUGUGAUGAUGAGGUAACUUUGACUAUAACUUUUCCCUGCUUAUGUAGCUUUCUCUGUAAGUUGAAGAUUGUCAAACCAUAUGAAUGAAUGAAAAACAGCGGUGGCCUGGAACACAGGGAUAAAAAUCUGAAGGGGAAAAAAUGAAGUGUACAUGAUUUGUAGUGUAUGGGCUAGAACACUAAACAACAUGUGGUGUGUGUUUUUGUAGUUAUAAGGAAUGCUAUUAGAUUUAUUGUCAGUGUAUCAGUGUAUAAUUUUAGUGUUAUCACUGUCAAAUAUGGUUAGUUUUCCAAUUAAACAGGAAGUUAUGCAAAGUUUUUCCAGUAUGACUCUCUGUUGUAGAGGGGAUCAUAACAAACCAAAAUUCUCUAGGGGCUGUGCUCAAGAGGAAAUAGGAGUUUUUUAAUGAACAAAUUCUGUAACACUAUUAUAAAUGGUGUUGGAAAAUUAAUACAUACAUUUACUCAAGUACCAUACUUAAGUACAGUUUUGAAUUACCUGUAUUUUACUUGAGUAUUUCUAUGUUACUUUACACCUCUACUCCACUAAACAUUACUGUACAUGCACAUUAUUGCAUCAAUAAUAAUAAUCCAGUAAUACAAUAUAUAAUCAGUUAUUCUGAAAUGGGCCAUUCAGCAUAAUGAGCGCUCUUACUAAUGGUUCUCUAAAUAUAUAUAUGUUGUUGUGAAUACAUCUGUACUUGGUUUAUUAAUGCACACAUGACUUGAUGCAGGGUGUAUCAUUAAUUCCUCACCAUUGUGAUCACGCCACUGUAAAAUUCAUACAUUAAUUUGUAUGCAACCGAUCUUGCAUGAGUCCAGUCACACAGGGAAGUGAUCAGCCUCUCUGAAAGCAGGACAGCACCAGCUCUCAUAGAAAUAUGGAGCUGCUUUUCUCAAGCUGGUUGUCAGAUGCAGACACUACAUUUUGUCGCAUGAUCUAAUUGAUUGAUGUCAUUUUUACAAGUUAAGGGGGAAGAUUUUAAGAAAAUGUUAUUGCAAGUUUUUUUUUGUUUAUUUUAUUUUAUUUUUUUUUUGAAAGAAGAGGAGCAUAGCAUGGAAGAAAAUAGUGCUCUAAACAUCCAGCAGAUGUGAGAUGACAAAUCAGCAGACGAAGGGACAGAUGUGUCCAAAAGUUUACACUGUAAAAACACAAGACAGAAAAACAGGGAAAUAAUAUUGUGUUAGGAACAUGACUUGAUGUUUUGUAUCAGAGGGUACGUGUGACAAAAAAGAGCUUCAUAUUUCUCUGAGCACAACCACUGCUCUGCUUUCAGAUGAACUGAAAAUUCUAAAAUGUUUUUUUUUAAAUAAUUGACAUACAUAACAUAAUAUGACUCAACACAACAGAUGGGUCAACAGAAGCAUAUACAACAGACCAUACAACUGUAACAUUUACCACAUGGACAUUUCUAAGACCACAAUAAGUGGGGGUUGAGGAUAAAAGCACAUGUUGUAUCUAUGGUGUGGUGUUAGAACUGGGGGUAAGCUAUGGGUUAAUUCUGUUUAUGAGUGGUCGGGUGUGUUUAUAUGGGUGAAAUGUCCUUUUCUAUUCAACUUGAUUUCAGUGACAAACAAAUUAACGUAUGAAGUAACUGUGAUGUGACAUUACUUCUCUAUUAACUAAUCACAUUGAGUCAUGCAUUAAUGACACAUUAGUUCGGCAAUUUAUUUUGAAAUGUGCCCUCAAGUUCUUUCAACCUUUUCUCCAAAACAACCAGGAGCGUUUGUGGUUCUCCCAACACACCAGCAGAGUGCGCCAGAGGACCCGCGUCUCGCUUCAGGCUGUCUCGUCUUUAUUCCAUACUUAAUCUGCAGCUCACAACUCUCCACACAUUCAGCUCUUAACUCCAACACAAAGGUUGCAGUGAGCCAGAGCGCAUACACCUGUCAAAGGUUGUUGUCACCCACGCCUUUCAACUCCCACCAAAACUUUUAUAAACUGAAAAUAGCUCCUUUCCUUCCCUCCUCUCACUUCUUUCUUUUUCUUCUUUUUUUUUCCAAGGGAACCACAAAUUGUGUCCAGAUUUUCACACAUAGUAACUUAGUGUUUUGGGCAAUUUGGAACUGAAACAAUUACAAACAAACCUGUAUUAUACCCCGUCUCCGCUAUUGGAUCUGACUAGAAAAGACAAGAAAAUAAAACGUUUCUGUUUUCCCCCUCAGGUUAUUUUAGAUUGUGGGCUCAUUUUCUAAUUAUGGUGGCCAUUCUUUAAGCAUGCAGCGCAUGUUUCUCAGUAAUUUCUAGCUUUAAUGAAAAUCUGCACACACCAGUGCACAGAAAGAAAAAAAAAACUGAAGAUCAUUCUGAUUUGCUAACCUUUGGCAACAUGUUGCUUUUGUGUAUGGGGAUAAUAAAUUAUGAUCAGAGUUACAA